CAGCUAUAUUUUCAUCUUAUGGAAAAAUCCAAGGCUAAUGGUAAAAUAACUUCCCCACGGUCACACUGGUCACUGCUGUUUCAUUGCCAAGAUGAACUAGGAGGAUGAAGGUCAGUCUUUUCCUCCUGAUGAAGGAAUUCAUGAACUGCAUGCUACCCUUACUGUUAUGACUUCUAAAACUGCUGCAACCAUUUGAUUGGAAAAGUAUUUUACAAUAAAUGCUGCGUUCCAUGUGCUAAGUACUGAAGUUAUUACCAUGACAACAAGACCACCUUCUUGCCUACAGUUCGGAGAUUAAUAAAGGGCUCCUGAGAUAACCACAAGGCACAUGAAAUAACCCAGGAACUAUAAAUUGCAAAAGUGUCUAUGCUGCAUUGUAACUUUUGGAAAAACAUGCACACACCUGGUGCCACCUGGGUAGGUGUGACCAGAACCUGCCUGUUGGAAAAUAAAGGAUUAAAAAAAUGAAAUGAGAGAAAGUGACACAUAAAAGGACAACUUAAGGUUUCCGCAAAGCAAAUACAUAACCAAGCUGAUCAACCCUCCAGCAUAGUCCUUCUGAGCUGUGUUUCCACAGGAAAAUGAGGGUAGAGGCAAUCACAAAAGUCUUGGCUCUCAUCCACCCCUGUGGCCUGCUGACACAGGCCCAGCUUGCCAGAGCACUGGGGUCACAAUGAAGUUGCUGCCAGUAGAGCUGCUUUCAUUAAAAUUGAGUAAGAAGAACAGGUAAUGGGGUUGGGCAGAAACUAGGACCUGAAAGUGGUUGGGAUUGGGGGACUCCUGUCUUCUAAUUGGGAAGGCUGGGUAGGGCUUCUUGGUAGUACCUGACAAUUAUCUUGUUCUAGCAUUUACAGCCUUUCUCUACUCCUGGAGUCACUGCAGGGCCCCCAGGGGACUCUGAAAACAGCCAGUUGUUAAGCAAGGGUAUUCUCCACUAGGGCUACCAUGAAGUUUAUAUUAUAGAGCUGGAUCUUUCACCCCUUUUGUGCUGUAAACCAUUUGUGCACAGCCUUUGAACUAUUUCUCAUAAUAAUACUUUUUAAAUAUAUAUAAAAUAUAUGUCAUUACAAAUAAAAUCAACUAUGAUGAAAUAUGGCACAUGUAUACAUAUGUAACUAACCUGCACAAAGUGCACAUGUACCCUAAAACUUAAAGUAUAAUAAAAAAAUAUAUAUAUAUAUUUAUAAAUAUUGA
rnacentral:lncRNA from 1 species